rnacentral:rRNA from 1 species
AUGCUGUUCCUUAAGCUGGAUAUUGCUAAGGCAUUUGAUACGCUCUCAUGGCCAUACCUGAUCAACAUGCUUCGUGCCCGGGGUUUCGGUCAACGUUGGUGCGAUUGGAUCUCUAUGAUCCUCUCCUCGGCCUCCUCCAGAGUGAUCAUUAACGACUUGAUCGGAGACCCCAUCUGUCAUGCGAAAGGGGUGCGUCAGGGUGAUCCUAUCUCCCCUUUCCUCUUCAUCCUAGCCAUGGAACCGCUCUUCCAUCUCAUCAACAAGGCGGUGGAGACUGGCAUCCUAUCAAAGCUGAGAGGAAGAAUCCCCCCGGUUCGUGUCUCUUUAUAUGCUGACGAUGUUGCCCUAUUCAUCAACCCUGUUAGAGCUGAGCUUCAGGCCCUGAAAUCCAUCCUCACUGCCUUCAGAGACGUCACUGGGCUGUGUGUCAACUUCUCCAAGAGCUCGAUCAUCCCCAUUCGUUGUGACGGUUUGGACGUGGAAGAUUUGGUUGCCCCUCUCGGUACAAGAGUGGCCUCUAUGCCAACCCGUUUCCUCGGACUGCCGCUCUCCCUCCAGAAGCUGCGCAAGAUUGAUUUUCUGCCCCUGCUUGAUAAAAUCCGUGCUCGUCUGGCUUCCUGGAAGGCUCGGUUGCUCUUGGCAGCAGGAAGACUUGUCCUCAUCAACGCGGUCCUCUCUUCUAUGACAGUGUACUGGCUCGCGGUGUUUGAAUUGCCAUCUUGGAGCCGCCUGCAGAUUGAUAAGCUGCGCCGUGCUUGGUUAUUGCGCGGAGAAGAAUCUUCCCACGGUGGCCACUGCAAGGUUGCCUGGCGCACGAUCUGCAGGCCCAAGCAGCUUGGCGGCCUUGGCAUUGUCGACCUUCAAUCUUUCGGCACUGCAUUACGGCUCCGCUGGCUCUGGCAAGAGAGAGUGGCCCUGGAGCGACCUUGGGUUGGGCUGCCAACUCCAUGCACCAUGACUGACCGCCUCUUCUUUGCUAUGGCAUCACACUGUCAGCUGGGCAAUGGGAAGCUGGCUCGUUUUUGGUAUAACGCUUGGUUGGAUGGUCAAGCCCCCUGCCUUAUUGCUCCAGAUGUGUUCAGAAUCACCUCCAACAAACUCUAA